ensembl:snRNA U6 U6 spliceosomal RNA
GUGCUUGCUUCGGCAGCACAUAUACUAAAAAUUGGAAUGAUACAGAGAAGAUUAGCAUGGCCCCUGUGUAAGGAUGACAUGCAAAUUCGUGAAGUGUUCCAUAUUUUU